GGGAAUGUGGCUCAGGCGGUAGCGCGCUCGCCUGGCAUGCGUGCGGCCUGGGUUCGAUUCCCAGCACCA
rfam:Ictidomys tridecemlineatus contig000577, whole genome shotgun sequence.